AUAUUGAUGUCGAGUUUAUCCAUAACUUGAUGGUCAUGAAUUUACCGCUACACAUAAUAUCAUUCAAAGCAUAUAAUGUUGACAUGUAACAGUUCAAGCUGCAACAUACAUCAUGUAGCAGGCCAGGCAUAACAGGGCAUCAAAUCGGGUUCCACACAUCAGUUGCAUACAUGACAUGUGCAAAUCAGGGCAUCAUACCUAACAAUUCAUAAUAGGCAACAAUAAUACAACAUUAAAGCAGCAGUAGUAGCAUGUGCAUAACAAAAUUCACAAUGGCAAUACCUAGCUAACAUCAUACAUUAAUAAGGAAAGUCAUCAUGUAGCAGUUAUUAGUUACACACAUCAAUAGCAGCCAUAUAACAUAGGCAUCUAGCAGCAGUUUAUACCUUCAUGACCAAGCUAGGCAAUGCACAACAUUUAACAAAACUUGAUACCAAUCACAUCCAAAUCUAACUAACAGUUAACACUAACAGAGUUUAACAACUAACUUUUUCCAACUAAUUGGUUCAUUUCAAACUAACUGAAUUGAAUCUCUAACCAACUUUCAAUUCACUUCUAACUAACUCUAAUAUUGUUACCUAAUUUCUAACUAACCUUGAAUCAAUCUAACUAACUAAAUUAAUAGAGUUUUUCAUCUAUUAACUUCCAUCUCCUAUAAAUAGUUCAUCACCUUGAAAAAUCAUUUUUCACCUUCGAUUUUCCCAUGAACUCGAUUCAACCUUGCUUUCUCUCAAUCUCAUCACACCUUUACACCACACCUCAAUCACCUUCCAUUGAUCCAUUCAUUCACUCUCAGAGAACAAAGAAGAAGAAGAAGUUUCGAAGCUUAGAAGAAGAAAGAAAGAGAUUGAAGCAGAAGAAGAAUUGUAAAGUGAAGAAUAAUACCUGAAGCUUAUUCAAACAUCGACGUUUUCUUCGAUCUCAACCAUUUUCUCCGGCAGGUAAGGUUGAUUUCUUCACCAUUUGUUGUGUGCUAGUUACCACUAUGUAGAGUAAGGGUUGAGGAAUCAAAUCCCCAACAUCAGGGACUUUGAUUCCUCCAAUCAAUAAUUUAAUUUUGAUUCUCGUGGCUAGGGUUCUUGAGGAUUCUUGCACGAUUUGGAAAAUUAUUGAGGUUUCAGAUGAUUUUAGUGUGAGAUUCAGUUAGGACUUGAAAUUUAGAGUGAUCUGGCAUUUUAAUUUUUGAUGUUUACUGCUCAACUGCCGCCAGUAGUGAGCUUCAAUGCGGCGGAGAGGGAGAGUUAGUGAUGAAUGUUUGAACAGUUUGAACAACACAUGGGAAACGUUUAUCACGUUUAUCACGUGCGUAUUUUGGAUUUGAG
rnacentral:lncRNA from 1 species